ensembl:lncRNA HCG18 HLA complex group 18
GGCAAAACGUCCGCCCGGGCCCGAGGCGGGCGGAGGCAGCUGUGGUUACGUGCGGGGGGCCGGUGACGCAGUCGCGGGGCGCUGGGACGCGGCUUGCGGAGCCGGCCGGCGAGCGCAGGCCCCAGGCUCGGGCGCGGCGGCGGGACAGCACCUACCUUCCCGGCUUCGGGUCCGGGAGUGCGGGGCGCGGAGCCGCCGGAGCGCUGCCUCCCUCCUUCCUCCUCCCCUCGCCCCCGCCCCGCGGCGCGACACACAAUACUCGCCGGAAGCGGAAGCCGCGCCGAGGCUCGUGUCAGUGGAAGCUGGGGUGUCGGCGGGCGGCCGCGGCCGGGUCUAGCGGUGCCUGCGGAAGAAGGAGGAGGAGGGCUGGCGAUGAGAAGCAGCAGGGGGAAUCAAGGGCAAGAAGGGACCCAGAGGGGCAGGUGGCUGAGAUGCUGGCGUCCAGGUGACCCGAGGAAUCCUCUGGAGAUACAGGCCCGCGCAUGCGCGUGCUCGAGCGCUGAAGCCCAUUGCCCGCAGGGCGCUGGACUGGCGCCCCGGCCGGCGAGGCUGUCUAGUCCAGGCUCCAGGCCCCGGCUCUGGCCAGGCGCCGCCGCCUCCCGGUGCAGCUGAAAGUCGACGAAGAGGGCGGGGCGGGGGCGGCUUGUGGACUUCCACACUUUUCCUCUCUUCGGGCCAGUCUGGGGAGAGGGUGGCUAGCUGUGGCGGCGGCCAAUUACGUGGCGGACCUGCGGGGCUAAGCUGGCACGUCACUUCCGACUAGUGGAGUUUUUAGCCUUUUAACAUUCAAGGAUUAGAGCUCCCUCUUUGCCCACUAGCAGGGCAUUAGCUGGUGCUGAAGACAGUGGCUGCUUGGCGAGCCUGGAUCUCCAAGUGACCCCCUCAGCAACUCCUGAUGAACAGGACUGAAGCCAAUAUUAAAGCAAGUCAACCAAAGGUUCUCUGGUGUAGACAAGACAGCAAAAGGACAGACUACCUUGUGGAACCUAGCAUUGUUCUCCUUCUGCAGCACUAAGUAACAUUUGUUCUCCGUUAAGAUCUUUGCAAACCACACACAAGAAUUGCUGGUCAUCCUGCCAAUAGAUGCUGCUCACAGAACCAAAUUUCCUGUGCUGAAUUGUCACUCAUGGGCUUGAGAGUAGGAGACUGGAGACCAAGGUGGCUAGAAUCCAGUUGGGCCUGAUGUCUCCCUGUUGAAAGGGCUCCUUGUGGAAUGAAUAGCACAUGGCUCCUGUGGUGGAUCUGAUAGUGGCAUAGCACCAAGUGAUGCAGGCCUGCCAGGGGCCACAGACACAGAAGAUGCUCCCGGGGUCCCCCAUGUACUCCAGACACACUGCAGGCCACCUCUCCCAGCAGGUUGCCAGUCAUGGGCCCCAUCAUCAUGACUUCUGUCCAAGGUGUGCUCGGAAAUCUCUUCCUUAACUGUGACUUUCUGACAGGUGGAGGAUGUGGUCAGGAGUGGGAAAAGGAUUCGAGACGGGAAGAGGGAGGGGUUCAGGAUGAAGAGAGAUAAUCUGUGCCACAGAUGCUGGCCCUGCAGUUAGCUCCCACCUAGUCCGUGCACACACAUUCUAAUCCCCUCCCAUUCCUUUACAUGCUGCGGCCAGAGAGGCCUUUCUCAAAGUGGAAGUCUCAUCCUCACUUCUCUGGUUACAGUGCUGGGCCAUGGUAACUUACAAGGCUUAGCAGGAACUGUCUGCGCACUCCCCCUUCCUGCCCACUACCUUGUUUCCCUCCAGUUGCGAGAGAAAACAUUGAUUGAGCAUUAACUAUGUGCCAGGCUUGUCCUAAGUCCUUUGCAUGUAUUCACUCAAACAAUCCUCACAACAUUCCUAUCACAUCUCCCAUUUCACAGUGAGGGUUCUAAAGCACGUAGUGGGUGAGGAACUUGUCCAGGGUCACACAACUAAGUGGGGGUGGAGAAACAUCAAAUCUAGGUGGUCCAGGUGGUGGCCAGAACCCAUCAGCACCUCACUACAGCUGCCUCCAGUUUCUCGCUCUAGGAAAUACUCUUCCCUGUCAACUCCUGUUGUCCUCUGGGCUCAGUUGACAUGUCAUCUCCUUGAGGAGGACAUCCUGAGAUGCUCCCCGACUAGGGUGGGCACCCACUUCCACACUCCAAAUGCCUAUUUGACCUGUGUAUCGCUGCAUCCCCACUGCCUGGCAGAUAGCAGGCCCCUAAUAAAUAUGAUUUGAGCAAAUAAAUAUAGUUCUUCAAAAAAUAGGGAGGACUUCUUGCUUCAGGUAAUGGUAGGCUAGGACAUUUGGACCAACCCUCCUGCAGAAAAUAGCCAUUUAUUUUGAUGCAAUAUAUCUGGCUAUGACUAGAGAUUUCAAAUAUUUGGAGGGCUAUUAUGUGAAGAACUAAACUUACUCUUUGUGACAUAGAGGUCAGAAAUUGGUCGUUUCCAUAGAGUAUGAGAGAGACAGAAUUGUGCUCAUCAUAAGUAUCUUUUUUAAAAGUUAGACUUAAUAAAAUGGGCUGCCUUGGUAGGUGGUGAGUUCUCUGUCACGAAAGAGAUUCAGCCACUUGCUCUGAGAAAGCAUGGAGAAUAUCAACAUUGUAAGGGUCGACCACCUCAUCUCUGAGGCCCCCUCCUCACUUAGGUUGCCAUUGCAGGUGGAACACUGGGCUGAGUGUCAAAGAACCUGGGUUCCACAAGCUGUGCGACCAUGGCUGGUUGUUUUGGAUCUCAUUCCUAAUAUCUGUUAGUUAAGCUGACCCGUCAAUACUGACCCACUUCACAGAGUUAUGAAGGGAUUAAAUUAGGUAUUACAUGUAAAUCUGUUUUGUUUGCUUUUUGUUGUUCUUUUUUGUUUUGCUUUUUUCUUUGCAUUAUGAAAUCCCAAGUCAACUUUUUCCAUUCUUUUAUUUUUUUAAAAAUUGACAUCAUCAUUAUAACCACAAAAUAAUUUUUAAAAUGGAAAAAAAAAACUCACCUGCAACCCCACAAUCUAAUACAAUAAUCAUACUUUUUUCCCUUUAUUCUCCUUUAUUGUGACCAAGGAUGACUUUGGGCAUUGCUGUGAGGAACUAUUUCGUUUAACACCCUACUACCUGAACAUGAUGCGUACUCAGCCUUUCACCACCCCCCAAGUAGCUACACAUGAUGUGAUAAUAGUAUUGGUGGUGGUUUUAGAGAGUUGGAGAGAAAACUGAAGUUGGAUUUGGGUAAAAGAAAAAAGAGUGGGAAUUAUUUUUUCUCCAUUCUAAAGCCCAUAAAGCAAUGUUAAUUGUUCCCACCCCUCUGCUAUUCUGUCUCCUCAGGUACUGUGUGCAGAAAUGUGAUUGAGAUUCAAGUCAGGGCCUCUCUGCCCUUUUCCCUCCAGAAACAAAACCAAGAUAAUUUAUCCUGAACACGGUGAAAAAAGGAAGGGAGGGAGGAGAAAAAGUCCGGGUCUCACCUGGGAUUCUCUGUCUCCUGCAACAUGAAGGAUUUAGCCUGGGAGGAGGUGGUGAGAACUCUGGGAGAGAAAAAAGAAGGAAAGAAUAGUUUUACCCAUGCUGAAGUUAAUUUAAACCUUCACCUAGAGAAGCAAAAAAAAAAAACCCACACUUUCCCAUUUUGUGCCUCCCUUCCUAGAGUUUUAGCCAAAGGUUUAGCUAAGUAAUUGGUUUUACCAGCGCACUCACUCCUCCUAUCCCAAGUCUGUUUGACUCCCUCCCCAUCAUCCUCCUCACCUCUUUUCAGGCAGGGUGGGGAUAGCAGCAGGAGGAGAUUUUGGGAGCCUGGCAACUCCUGCAAGGACCGCAGGACAGCCCCUCUGUGGGGAUGCGUGGUGCCCCAUCUGCCGCCCUUCUGAAGAAUGCACUGCCUUCACUUUUUACUGUGUUAGAGUCCAUCCAGACUGUUCUAUCCAAAAAAGUUUCUUUUUCCCCCACAGGCAAUCAGGAAAUGAUUCCUUUCCCGACUGCUUCUGUCUAGUGCCUGGGAAUCUUGAGUCAAUCCCUCAGUAAGUCAGUGACUAGGGAAAUCCCUCUCUGAGCCUCCCAGUUCAUGUUGCUUAGGGAACCUGAUAUUUUCGUGAAACCUGCCUACACAUGGGCAGCCCAACAGCAGAACAAAUGGUGGUGACCAAAGUGAACAAAGAAGUAUAGUUGUGCCAGCUUCGUAGUUGCCCAUGUGGACAAGUCAGCAGGAUCAGGACACGAGGAAGAGUAAAUGUGAGACAGUCAAUGUGACUUCUGCGAUAAACAGAUUUUUAAACCCCGAAAUUUUGCAAAAUUUUGGUGAAACCUGAACUUUCUUCGUUGCAUAUACUGGCACUAUCUGUACCAUCAUACAACUGUCUCACAUUAAAGCUAUUUUUCUUGGGCACUGAUGAGUAAGGUUGGUAUAAGUUCCUCAGAUCAACAAAAACCCAUUUUCCUGUAAGUCUUACAUUUAGUAUUUAAGGAACUAAAACUUAAAUACAUUUUGUGAAAUGGUUGACACUUCACUGAUAAUGAUUUAUUGCUUGGAUUAAUAAAUUUUCCAAAAGUUGUCUUAUGUAGAAUAUGGUUUGCAACCAGCAGAACCAUUAAUCUAUACUGCAAUGAUAUGCACUAUGUAUAAUUGUUUAAAAGCCUCUACUUAAUGAUGUAAAAUGCUCUAUUUAAUUACACAUUUGGGUAAACUGUAUACUAACAUCUGAUGGCAUUUUUCCACUGUUUGUUGCUUUUUUCAAAUACUUUAUUGUACAAAGCUGUUCUUAAUAUUUUUCAAGUUUUUUUCUUUGAAUUUUGCUAAUGUUUUCCUUGAAUUAUGAGCACUGACAGAAUGUGCUUAGCACUUUUGGCUAUUCACACAGCUUUUGAGCAUGAUUUGCAUCCAAUAUUUACAUUGCUAGCAAUAAUAAGCCAUCUGUGAGUUUUGUCAAAA